rnacentral:rRNA from 1 species
AACGAACGCUGGCGGCAGGCCUAAAACAUGCAAGUCGAACGCCCCGCAAGGGGAGUGGCGCACGGGUGAGUAACGCGUGGGAACGUGCCCUUCACUACGGAACAACGCCGGGAAACUGACGCUAAUACCGUAUAAUGCCUACGGUCCAAAGAUUUAUCGGCGAAGGAGCGGCCCGCGUCUGAUAGGUUGUUGGUGGGGUAAUGGCCUACCAAGACUACGAUCAGUAGCAGGUCUGAGAGGAUGAUCUGCCACACUGGGACUGAGACACGGCCCAGACUCCUACGGGAGGCAGCAGUAGGGAAUAUUGGACAAUGGGCGAAAGCCUGAUCCAGCCAUGCCGCGUGUGUGAUGAAGGCCUUAGGGUUGUAAAGCACUUUCGUUGGGGAUGAUAAUGACCGUACCCAAAGAAGAAGCACCGGCUAACUUCGUGCCAGCAGCCGCCGUAA